rnacentral:lncRNA from 1 species
GCCCUAACAAAAAGACAAAUAAUAAUAAUAAUAAUAAUAAUAAGAUAGAUAUGUUUCUCAUCACAAUUUUUUGGUUUGAAAUGUAAAAUUAAACAAACAUCCAUAGUGUUUGAUGAACAGAUUUUUUUUUUUUGUAAUAUGUGAUUUUCCAAGUGCUGCUCUGGUAAAGGACUAGACUUGUAUGUGUAUUAAACCCAUCCAGGGCAAUGACACUAAGGAAGUAAGACACAUACCAAGCUAUCUGAUGAGCAUUUCUUCCCUGGAGGAUUAUUGUUGGAAAAAAAAAUGCUGAGAAAUGCAACAGAAGCCUGUCUGUGUUUCUAGCACCUCACUGUAGAUUUUCCCCUGGAACAUUUGUACAAGACAUAGAGCCAUCACCCUCACGUCUGGCUGCACACUGCUCAAAUAAUACGGGGACUAACUGGUUAAUGAUGAAGCAGCUCUUCCUGCCAGAGCUAACGCCAGCAGGAUCCAGUCACCCUGCCAGAAAGACCUUGGGUUUUAUACAGUUGAUGGCUUUAUGGGUUGAGUCACCUUGAGACAAAAAUCCCUUUAGUAUUUCAAUAAAUAAAACCUUUAAAAAAAAAAACUACAUUUGCUACAGCAAAUAAAGUUAGGGCACUAAUCCAGGGCUUUGGCCUAUUUAAAAACCCUAAAAUUCUUGAAAGUCAUCCCACUGUGGGACAGUGUUUUUUGUUUUUACAAGCAAGUAAGCAAGCAAAGUCUUUAUUACUGGAAAGAAAAUAGCUCCCAGGACUGCUGGGAGAGGGGAGAAGAGCCCCCCCCCCCCAUUGUCUUAUAGGAUUCUUAUCCCUUAAAGAUGGGGGGACCGACGUGGGGUCCUGAAAGGUGCGGUUUUCUCCCAUUGGCCUUGCCUGGUUACCUGUAUCAGUCCUUGUCCAAUAGGGGUCUUAGCGGUGAAAUGUCCGUUUCAGUGUCAGGAAUCUGGACGCACCUUAGCUGGAUCCUCUGGCUCAAGGUCUCCUCUGAAGCUGCAGUCAAGGCAUUGGCUGGGACAGUCAUCUCAAGGCUCAACUGGUGGAGGACCCAUCUCCCAUCUCAUUCCUGUGGUGGUUGGCAGGAUUCAGUUCCUUGUGGGCUGAUGGACGAAGGGCCUCAGUUCCUCCCUGGCUCUUGGCUGGAGGCCAUUCUCAGUUUCCUGGCACGUGAGCCUCUCCUUAAGGCAGCUCCCAACACAGCAGCUGACUUCAUCAGCGCAAGCAAGCAAGAAGAGCCGGAGAGAAAGUGA